rnacentral:rRNA from 1 species
GAUGAACGCUGGCGGCGUGCCUAAUACAUGCAAGUCGAGCGAACGGACGAGAAGCUUGCUUCUCUGAUGUUAGCGGCGGACGGGUGAGUAACACGUGGAUAACCUACCUAUAAGACUGGGAUAACUUCGGGAAACCGGAGCUAAUACCGGAUGAUAUUUUGAACCGCAUGGUUCAAAAGUGAAAGACGGUCUUGCUGUCACUUAUAGAUGGAUCCGCGCUGCAUUAGCUAGUUGGUGAGGUAACGGCUUACCAAGGCAACGAUGCAUAGCCGACCUGAGAGGGUGAUCGGCCACACUGGAACUGAGACACGGUCCAGACUCCUACGGGAGGCAGCAGUAGGGAAUCUUCCGCAAUGGGCGAAAGCCUGACGGAGCAACGCCGCGUGAGUGAUGAAGGUCUUCGGAUCGUAAAACUCUGUUAUUAGGGAAGAACAUAUGUGUAAGUAACUGUGCACAUCUUGACGGUACCUAAUCAGAAAGCCACGGCUAACUACGU